GUCUGCGGCCAUGCCACCCUGAACGUGCCCGAUCUUGUCUGAUCUCGGAAGCUAAGCAGGGUCAGGCCUGGUUAGUACUUGGAUGGGAGACCACCUAGGAAGACCAGAUGCUGUAGGUG
rnacentral:rRNA from 1 species